rnacentral:lncRNA from 1 species
UCUGGUGUAAGUGAGGAGGGAUGGAAUAUUCCAAGGGAACGAUCGGGGAUGUUGAACUCAUUUCCUCCAUAAAGGUAGCUUGUUCCUGCUACACAUAUGGCAACCAUCGUGUUAACAUGCACGUGCAACUUAUCAAUUGUAGUUACACGAUUUUGUUUGGUUGAAUGAGGUUUAGAACAACCUAUCAAAAUGGUACACACAUAUCUUCUUGCUAAAUGUUCCUUUUGUGAGUUUUAAGUCACAG